GGAUUAGCGGCGGACGGGUGAGUAACACGUGAGUAACCUGCCUUAGACAUUGGGAUAGCCUCGGGAAACCGGGAUUAAUACCAAAUGAAAUCAUAGGUGCCCAUGCACUAAUGAUCAAAACUCCGGUGGUCUAAGAUGGACUCGCGUCCCAUUAGCUAGUUGGUGAGGUAACGGCCCACCAAGGCGACGAUGGGUAGCCGGCCUGAGAGGGUGAACGGCCACAUUGGAACUGAGAAACGGUCCAAACUCC
rnacentral:rRNA from 1 species